GUGGGGAAUAUUGCACAAUGGGGGAAACCCUGAUGCAGCAACGCCGCGUGAGUGAUGAAGGCCUUCGGGUUGUAAAGCUCUGUCUUUGGGGACGAUAAUGACGGUACCCGAGGAGGAAGCCACGGCUAACUACGUGCCAGCAGCCGCGGUAAUACGUAGGUGGCAAGCGUUGUCCGGAUUUACUGGGCGUAAAGGGAGCGUAGGUGGAUAUUUAAGUGGGAUGUGAAAUCCCCGGGCUUAACCUGGGGGCUGCAUUCCAAACUGGAUGUCUAGAGUGCAGGAGAGGAGAGUGGAAUUCCUAGUGUAGCGGUGAAAUGCGUAGAGAUUAGGAAGAACACCAGUGGCGAAGGCGACUCUCUGGACUGUAACUGACACUGAGGCUCGAAAGCGUGGGGAGCAAACAGGAUUAGAAACCCUAGUAGUCC
rnacentral:rRNA from 1 species